GUGAUCACUUCAGCAGCACAUAUACUAAAAUUGGAACUAUAGAGAGAAGAUUAGCAUGGCCCUUGUGCAAGGCUGACAUACAAAUUCAUGAAGUAUUCCAUAUUCAG
ensembl:snRNA U6 U6 spliceosomal RNA